AGGUCUAUAACUACGGAAGUCAACCUUCUAGGAAUGCAUUGGUAUUUUGCUAUUAAAUCUUUUCUCCUUCUGACAGUCUGACCAUGAACACCGGGCCAAUCACUACUAAUUCACCUAUCAGUUUGGGAUGUGAGAAGAAGGUUCUAUGGAAUGUCAGAAUUGGAACAUGACAUUCUCUGGUUAGGCUUGUGUAGGUAUGCUAAGUGGGUGGGGCUUGCUGGGAUAUAAUUUGUUGAGCGUGCAUGGCAGGGAAACCCUGAUUGAAGAACUGUGAAGUUCACACUGGUCUGUGGGCCUCUCUGGGAAAACUGUCUUGAUUAUUAGUUGAUGCAGGAAGACAUGGCACAUUGUGGUUGGCACCAUCCUUAGGUUGGUAGUUCUGGGCUGUGUAAGAAAUCUCACUACACAGCUAGAAAGCAAGCCAGCAAGCAGAGUUCAUUCAUGGUCCCAGCUUCCAGGUUCCUGCCCUGCCCUUUGUCAGUGAUAAAUUGUGACCUAGGUAUAGUAGCCAAAUAAAGUCUGCCUUCCCUUAAGUUGCUUUUGGUCAGAAUAAAACUAGAAUUGAAUAUAUGGUUGCCAUCAAAUUAUGUUUAUACACGCUUAAUAUUACGGGUAAUACUACACACAGAUGCAGCUGAAGGCAUAAGAAACCCAUGUUGACUUUUGUUGCCAGCUUGGAGUGAAAGUCCUGUGAGUCCAGGGAUGCUCCCAAACAGGAUCAGGGAACUUCUCCAGCAGACGCUGCUGGCUACUGCAUGACAGAAACGCUGUGCAGGAUGAAGAGCUGCCACCUGAGAAGUCUGUGGUCUCAGGGGAGUAGGAGGAACAAGCAAGUGACACAGACUUCCUCAAAGAUGAACUACACGGGAUGAUUGCAUUGAAUUAACAUGCUAAGCUGUUUUUCCUUUAAAGAUGUAUGUACCUAUAUCAUACGUAUGCUAUAGGUGCAAAUUACAGAACUGUUUCCUGCAACUGAAUAUGGAUGGGCAAAGACUCGGCACACUGGUGUAUUUCCAGUACCGGUUGGAACUGUUUCCUGUGAAGAUCUAAAACCCUCCUCUGAAAAGUCCCAACCAUCAGGACUUAGAGAUCUUCCAUCUAUACAGCUCAAGAGAGGAUUUCAUAGCCACCAGUCAGCUUCAAAGAUAAAAGAUCAUGAACAACUAACUGGCCAACUCCAUCAGUCUCUGAUUGAGACUAUUUCAGAGUCAGCUAUCAGGUGCUACCACCCCCAUCUGCCCUUGGUGAUUAAGAGCUGAUACCAGUCCCUGUGAGAGUCUGACCCUGCACUUUCCACUGCCUGCUUCCUCCCCCUCACCCACCCUCCACUCCCCGCCUUCUGGUCUGAUUCUGAGAAAAACUUCUAACAAUGGAAAGCAUAAAAAAUUCAAAUAGACAUUUAUUGUGAACAAACAGUUUUCUAUGGAUAAAUGGGGGUGGGUGCUAACAUUCAGACUAAACUCCAUCCCACAGUUACCUAGCAACAGCCAGGUAGGCCUGACCCACCAUAAAAGGGGAUGCUUGCCCCCUCCUCUCUCUCUUGAUCUCUUGCUUCUCUCCUGGUCUUGUUCCCCCUCUCUUCCAUUCCCUUCCACCUCUCUCCACGUGAUCAUGGUUGGCCUCUACUUCUCUACUCUCUCCCUCUCUCUGCCUUUCUCUGCCUCUACUACUUUCUUAACUCCCCUCCCCAUGCCCUGAAUAAACUCUAUUCUAUACUAUAGUGUCAUGUGGCUGGUCCCUCAGGGGGAUGGGAUGUCUUGGCAUGGGCCCGCUGAGGCACCUCCUCUUCCAUACCUCACCACAUCCCCAUAGAACAUAUCUUAUAUCUCUUUAUUUUUUUUAUAAACACAUGGGGGUGGGGGAAGGAUUCAACUUAAACAUAAAAUUUCAGUCUGUAAAACAUUUUUGCUGUCUAGAUUUUUUUUUUUUUUUUGGCAACACUGUCAGAUUUCGUUGGCGAUAACACCUGGUUACUGGGAACAGGGCAACUAGCUAGUGACAUGUUGGUUUAGAUAUGCAUCUGAGACUGGAAACAGAAAAGCAUUCAGAUUUCUCCAGAAAUUCCAGUGAAUGACUUC